AUGAACUGGAUCCGCCAGAGACCCGGGCAGGCGCUGGAGAAGGUUGCGAGUAUCAGCUACCGGCUGAUCCUGGUGCCCCUCCCAGGGCUCCGGGCGGCCGUGACCCUGCUGGAGUGCGGGGGGGACCUCCAGCCCCCCGGGGCGUCCCUGCGCCUCCUCUGCCGAGCAUCCGGGUUCGAUUUUGGAGGUUUUGGGAUGCACUGGGUGCGCCAGAGACCCGGGCAGGGGCUGCAAUGGCUCGCAGGGAUCACCAGCAAUGGUGCUUACACCGCGUACGCGCCAUCGGUCAAGGGCCGGUUCACGAUCUCCAGGGACAAAGGGCAGAGCUCGGUGACGCUGACCAUGAUCAACUUCAAGGACGAGGAUUCCGCCACCUAUUUCUGUGCCAAAUAUGCUGGGUCACGGCCGCUCGGAGCCCUGCGGGACAAAGGGGAGGUGAUGGAAAUGAAAAACCUGAUCGCUUGA